GACCAGGUCUGGAUGCUGCGAGUGCUGCGGGCCGGGUGGGCCUGUCCCGGGACCCCCGACCUGGCGACUCCCCCGGGGCGGGGGUGGCGUGUGGUCUCUAGAAAACUGAGGGAAAGUAGACAGACCGUGCUCACCGAUUUAAAAGAACAGCCCUGAAAUGACCCCCGUUACACCCUGUUCUCUUUAGACAAGUGACUUCCACCUGGAGCGGUUUCUGGGCCCGGGCAUGGGGAUUUCCUCACCCGGCCCCCUAGGCUUUCACCUCGGUGGAAUUUCCCGCGCCCCCGCUGGGAUGAUUUAGGGACUGUUAGCUAGUGCUUGGCUGGGUGUGGAGAAGGAUCAAUCACAGCUGACUCCUCAGAGGUGACAGCCCCUGCCCCCUUAAAAACAAGAAAAGACCUAGCAGUGUGAAGCCAAACUGCACCCCCAGCCCCGGUGACAUGAGGAAACCAUGAGGCGCUCAGCCUGAGGUUCAUCGUUCAUCUCCUUCCUGCUUGGAAUCAGAAUGUCCUCACUGCUGAGUUUCUCCGUUUUAUGGGAUUACAUUAGUGGACAAAGGAGGAAGUCCCAGCCGGGAACACAGAAAGGAUAUGGAGAAAAUUAUUAUUCUGCCCGUACAGUUGUGGUGACCCAGAUGGGAUCUCUGGGACACCCUGCCUGCUCUACAAUUGGGAUCCCUGGAGAAGUGACAGAAUCUGGCAACAGGAGAUUCAUGGAGAAAACGGACAAGUACAUGUUCCUGAUGACUUUAAGAUCAUACUGUUGAACUUCCAGAACACUAAUGGAAAAACUGACUCAUUCAUGAAAUUGCUAACCAAAGAUCAAGCAGAACAAGAAUUAAUUACAUUGGACUAGAUGACCCAAUGAAGAUGAGUAAGAAAGGUCACUUCCUGGCAGACCUCAGGUAUACUGGGGACAUCAAGAAAAGAAUAAUUCAUCAAAGUCUAUAGAUAUUGCAGGCAAAGUUGAAACAAGCCAGACAAGUUCUCUUUGUAUUCUUGAGAGACUUGGAAAGUCUAACCUGAGAUUCCUUAUUAAAAGUUCCAGCAAAACAGACUU